rnacentral:rRNA from 1 species
GUGUCAGCAGCCGCGGUAAUACGUAGGUGGCGAGCGUUGUCCGGAAUUACUGGGCGUAAAGGGUGCGUAGGCGGACCUUUAAGUCAGAUGUGAAAUCCCCGAGCUCAACUUGGGAAUUGCAUUUGAAACUGGAGGUCUAGAGUGCAGGAGAGGAAAGCGGAAUUCCUAGUGUAGCGGUGAAAUGCGUAGAUAUUAGGAAGAACACCAGUGGCGAAGGCGGCUUUCUGGACUGUAACUGACGCUGAGGCACGAAAGCGUGGGGAGCAAACAGGAUUAGAUACCCUGGUAGUCCACGCUGUAAACGAUGAGUGCUAGGUGUGGGGGGUUUCGACACCCUCUGUGCCGCAGUAAACGCAAUAAGCACUCCGCCUGGGGAGUACGGUCGCAAGACUAAA